UGGAUGUUAGGACUGGUCUUGGGGGUGUACACAUUCGCAUGGAGUGGGGAGAGUAAGCUCGUUUGGACCUUAGGCCCAAACCGAGUCCAAGGCCAAUCCAUCAUUAAGAAAAACAAGCAGAGGUUACUGUACAGAAAAGCGCUUAAAUGGAUAAGCUGGAAAACAAGGGUGGACGAAAACGCUUAUGGAGACACAGAGUUCGGUCAUAAUCUUCAUCCAAUUUUCGCUUGUUCUGGCGUUCAUGGAUACGCUUCCAGCUCCUGUCUGUUUUGGUUGGUCGGCGUCAUCGCAUCAGCAUCGGAGUGACAUCACGGACAUCAUCGCGUUUUGGAUCAUUCAACACUGAGUUUUUGAUUGGUUUGAAUCACGUCUGGUUCGCGUUACAGCGUUGCUUGCACAUCUCCGAUCUCGCGCUUCAAUUGUAACCAGCGAGUUGCGAUUACCACCGGUGCGGCGUCGCGGAUGUCGUUGCGUUAUUGCGCUUCAGCAUCGAUCUUUGAUUCAGAUGCGUACAAACAAGAACAAAAAUUGAAUCGAAAGUAGCAUCGCGAGUGUGAUCGGAAUUUCAAUUUGAUUCAAAGUUAAAGAUCUUGAUUCAGAGUUUUCGAUUCUAAACAGCACGCAACUAUAGGAAGAAAAGGUUUAAAGACUUACCGGUGAAAGGGGGAAAUUCCUUCGGUCAAUAACAGAUUGUCGUCGCUGGCGAAAACGAGAGAAAUCCAGAACGGUGUCGAUUUCCAGCUCUAAGCCUGGUGCGUGAGUGUGCCUGAACGUGUGAAGAACGAUGAACUCCGGCUUGUGUAUGGAUGAACUUUGUGGAUGGCUCCCCUGGUAUGCCCCUGCUUCGAUCCCUCAAUCUUUCUCCGUAUCGUGCUUCCACGUUCUUAAUUAUACAUGGCUGAAUUUUGUGUAAUGCAUUGUGUUGAUGAACGAGUCGACACAGAACUUGCAGGGUGAAUCGAUGUGAGGUAACGGAUACUCCAGUUGAAGAUUGUGAACCCCUGAUUGCUGCUUGAAGGUUGCAAGCUCAUGGAUCUUAGGUGGAAGAAUGGCGAAUUCAAAGUGGAAGCGUGGUGAUUGAAGAAAAUUGGAGAAAGUGAGGAAGAAAUGAAGAUGUUGAUUAGAAGUGAAUGAUCAGAAAAAUGCUCAGAGAAAGGCUAUGAACUUCUUAUAUAAGAGAAGUGUAACCGAAUCGGGCACUUAAAAGGGGGCAGGUUAUCAAUCGCCGAACCUCUUCUUGCUGUUGCUGUGUCCGCCGUGUUGCCAUUAUCGUGCAUUGUUAUGUUGGCCAAAUGAUGGUUAGUGGGAUGCGAUAAUGCUUGCGUGGAUAUCAUACUAUAUGUCGCUGUAUUGUAUAUGAUGCAAUUGGUAAUGCUUAGAUUAUGCGGUUCAGUUGUCGACUAACACAAUGCUAUGACGUAAUGAAGGAUGCUUAUGAUAUGCGUGAUGUGAGAUGCUUAAGCUGCUGUAGAAUGGACACGUUACUGCAAGUGAAGUCAUUUGGCUCAUAAAGAAACAAAUGGAUUUGGUUAAUCACAUGGAUGGUUAGGAUUAGGAUAUCUAGGGAUGUAAAGUCCAUUUCUUGUGUUUUCUCGUGGGAUCAUUAUUUGGAUGAACUUAAAUAGCUUUCAAUUCGAUUUUGUAUUGGAUUUUGAAUUUGAUUUUCUAUUGGAAUGAAACAAAUGACAAUGGCUUGCAAUGGAUUGGAAUUUUGGGAAUUAAAUGUGUGGAAGCUGAAUGAUUUUAUGGUUUAA